GCCCGGGUGGUGAAACUGGUAGACACAGGGGACUUAAAAUCCCCCGACCCUAACCGGUCGUGCCGGUUCGAGUCCGGCCCUGGGCACCA
rnacentral:tRNA from 1 species